UAGGAACAGCUCCCGCGACCUCUGGGCCACGAGGACACGGGACCCCGCUUGAGUCAAAGGCGCAGACAACAGACAUGAGCAUUGGCUGAGCAGUUUCUCUGUGUGCCCAUUACACACGUCAGCAGCCUGAAUGCUCUCGGCAGCCUGAACGCUCUCAACAGCCAUCAGAGCUCCUUGCCUUUGAGGACUGGUUUCCUGCUUGACCGUGAGAGCUGCCACCACUGUGAAUCAGGCGCACCUACGUUCUUUCUCCGUGGGACUGGCUUCUGGGUAUUUGGCCAUACGAUCUGCUGGGAAAGGGGAGGAUCCAGUCCCUCCUGGUCCGAAUGAGCCAGACACCAACAUGGAGAAAGUGACAGGCCGGCUCCAGGCAUAAUCCCCACCUGCAGCAUUUCCAGCCCCAAAUCCUCUUCUUGCCUCAGUUAUCACCUCACUCGGUACC
rnacentral:lncRNA from 1 species